rnacentral:tRNA from 2 species
GCUCCCUUAGCUCAGUUGGUCAGAGCCUUUAGGGUCGCCGGUUCAAGCCCGGCAGGGAGCA